GCGGCUGAACNAACAGAUUCCUUCGGUGAUGACGUUGGGAACGCGAGCGGCGGAUGGGUGAGUAACACGUGGGGAACCUGCCCCAUAGUCUGGGAUACCACUUGGAAACAGGUGCUAAUACCGGAUAAGAAAGCAGAUCGCAUGAUCAGCUUAUAAAAGGCGGCGUAAGCUGUCGCUAUGGGAUGGCCCCGCGGUGCAUUAGCUAGUUGGUAGGGUAACGGCCUACCAAGGCAAUGAUGCAUAGCCGAGUUGAGAGACUGAUCGGCCACAUUGGGACUGAGACACGGCCCAAACUCCUACGGGAGGCAGCAGUAGGGAAUCUUCCACAAUGGACGAAAGUCUGAUGGAGCAACGCCGCGUGAGUGAAGAAGGUUUUCGGAUCGUAAAGCUCUGUUGUUGGUGAAGAAGGAUAGAGGUAGUAACUGGCCUUUAUUUGACGGUAAUCAACCAGAAAGUCACGGCUAACUACGUGCCAGCAGCCGCGGUUAU
rnacentral:rRNA from 1 species